CCUACGGGAGGCUGCAGUGAGGAAUAUUGAUCAAUGGACGAGAGUCUGAACCAGCCAAGUAGCGUGAAGGAUGACUGCCCUACGGGGUGUAAACUUCUGUUAUAAGGGAAUAAAACGUGGCACGUGGGGGAGUUUGUAUGUACCAUAUGAAUAAGGAUCGGCUAACUCCGUGCCAGCAGCCGCGGUAAUACGGAGGAUCCGAGCGUUAUCCGGAUUUAUUGGGUUUAAAGGGAGCGUAGGUGGAUUGUUAAGUCAGUUGUGACAGUUUGCGGCUCAACCGUAAAAUUGCAGUUGAAACUGGCAGUCUUGAGUACAGUAGAGGUGGGCGGCAUUCGUGGUGUAGCGGUUA
rnacentral:rRNA from 1 species